rnacentral:misc_RNA from 1 species
AUUUUUUUUUUUUUUCUAAUUUUUAAAUUUUUAUAACAACAAAGAAGUCCAUGAAGAUGGAUAUUCAAAAGUAUAAGAAAGGGAGGAGAUAUGAAGGGAGCAGUUCUGGUAUGGUAAGUAUGAAUUUAGGAUCAAAGCAGGCCACUGAAAGUUUGGCGGUAAGAAAGAAUAGAAAGGAGAAAACUGGUGUAUUCAGCUAACUCUAUUACUCUGAGGCUAAAACUUAAUCACAUUGAUUUUAAAUAGAUUGUGACCUUAUUUAGCCUUUUAUCUUCCUACUGUGGUAAGGCCAUGAUACACUAUUGGCCAGUAUAGUUGAUACUAGAUUUUAUUUAAUAUAGAGCUAGUUCCUCUCCUCAAGUAGAUGCUAUGCUUUGUGUACACUUGAAAGAAUAGUGACUAACUAGAAAUCAUUAAUUACAUAAAAAUCAUGCACAUUACCCUUCUUAUGUGUAGAUUUGAGUACUUUGUGCGCCCUCAAUUUGACUAUAUCCUCUGAAAAUUUUGAAAUUAUUUUCGGAUAAAGUCUAACAUACAAUUUUAGCUUCCCAUGAUUCUGAUUCUGUUUUCCAGUUAGGUGGGACAAGAGCAUUCAGAGUCUUGGCUUUGAGUUUGUACUAUGUAGCUCUCCCAGUUAUAGCCUGUAGGGCUUCUUCUUGCUUUGUAAUAUUAAUUGUCUAGUUUAUUUGCUGUUUAAUUUUGUUAGGUCUAGCUAACUGGUGUUCGAGUGUUUGAGUUUGUAUUCUUGACUUCGUGUUCCUUGCUGAAGGCCUUCAAGCAAGAUUUGUUUCCCUGCUUGGUUUCUUUCUUUGGUUGUGAAAAAUUUUUUAUUCAUCAAAAAAAUAAAAGCAGUCUUGAGAUCUGAAAAUAAGUUCUGAACAAGCAUAUUUGCCAUAGAUAAAGCAUUGUUCCAUCUAUACAAUGUCUGAGUACUUGUUUAAAUUUCUGCAACUUUUUUCUUAUCGGUAAUAUCUUAAGCUGAAAUAUUCUUUUUUAUUUUGACUCCGGAAAAAUUCAUCUCUUGUUUGCUUCAGAGUUUUGAAACCAAUCACUUGGUACAUGAUCAAUUUCUUAAUCAAUUUCUUAAUAUCUUAUCAGUAAUUCAGAUUUGCUGAUUUUUGGUAUAUCAGAGAGUAAUAAAACAUAGAGGAAAAUAUAUUCAAGUUAGAGAAUAGAACAUGCUAUGACCAAAAGUGGGCUAUUCUCUGCAACAACUUCCAUAAGAACUGAGUCAGAAACUUAACCAUCUCUUCUUAUUGCAACUGGGGCCUGCAAUUAAACUACAUGUAUCCACUCAUUGUAAGCAGUUUUUUCCUCAUUGUGUUUGGUGAUCUUCAGUCAACUUUCCUAAUCCAUAGAAAUUGAUCUUGUGCUUACGAAAUAUUUUUUGUUAUGAGUGUUUGAGUAUCUUAAAUUCCUAAUUAAGUUUAGGCUUCCUACUUAGUAAGUAUUUCUAUUUGCAAUGUUAUUUUGAUGCUUGAGCAUAAGUUACUUUUUAAAUAGGAAGUGUUAUUAAGAUUUGGUGGGUUGAAGUGGCAUUGGGCUCAGCCUUACUAUGAGAUCUAAAUUGACUUGGAGGAGACUAGUACAACAUGACCUAGAAGCAU